rnacentral:rRNA from 1 species
GCUUGUCUCAAAGAUUAAGCCAUGCAUGUCUAAGUAUAAACACCUUUAUACUGUGAAACUGCGUACAGCUCAUUAAAUCAGUAAUAAUUUAUUUGAUGGUGACUUACUACAUGGAUAACCGUAGUAACCUAGAGCUAAUACAUGCACAAAAUCCCGACUUCACGGAAGGGAUGUAUUUAUUAGAUAACAAACCAAUAUUCUUCGUGUCUAUUGUGAUGACUCAUAAUAACUGAUCGAAUCGCAUGGUCCUUGACCGCGAUAAAUCAUUCAAGUUUCUGCCCCAUCAGCUUUCGAUGGUAGUGUAUUGGACUACCAUGGCUUUAACGGGUAACGGAGGAUUAGGGUUCGAUUCCGGAGAGGGAGCCUGAGAAACGGCUACCACAUCUAAGGAAGGCAGCAGG